UGGAGGUAGAAAAGUAUUUAAGUGUCGCAAAUAUUCUGUGAUCUCGUUAGUCUAUGCUUAGCCUGCCAAACAAAAUGGGAGCCAUGAAGAUUGUACUGUGUUUUGCUCUCGUGUUUGUUGUGUUUUCCGCCAUUGCUGAAGCUCAGCUUUACACCACUGGUCUGUAUGGAGGAUACAACACUGGAAUGGGCUUAGGCGGCGGGUCAGGCAAUUUAGUGGGAUCCGUGCUACCUAUUCUUCUCAUCUUCCUCAUGCUCGCAAUUUUUGCUCCACUCUUGACUGGAAGUCUUGUCUCCGCGAAUGAUAUGGUGUUCAGUGGUAGCGAUUAAAUGAAUUGAUGAACUGGAAAAGGGAAAACAAAUAGGACUAGCCCGCAUUUCACAGUGUACAAAUUCUCAGAAUAAACUGCAUUAUACAG